rnacentral:lncRNA from 1 species
AUGCGUCUGAGAGAGAUCACGGGCGCAAUCAACCACACAUUUGAAAUUUCUGGGCCCAUGAUAGAAUCCAGGCUCGUUUGCUGCCAGAAUUCCACCGACUUUGACAUGUGGGUUCAACACCUCCAGCAUCAAAUCAAGAUGGCAAACACUCACUGCCCAGUCAGUCCCAACAAUAACAUCUCUUUUCUGGUGCCGUGUGACGAACCAUGGAAGAAAAGAGAGUUGGUGAGACAUCUGUGGUGUAACACCAUUCUGAAGUGGGAAGGAAAACCUAUUCAGCAUCUGGGAAGGAUACAGUAUUUGACCAUGGUGCAAGUGGCUGGUGGCUGCAUGGGGGUAAUGUACAACGUUUACUGCUCUGACGUGGGUGGCCUUAAGAAGGCUGGAAACAGUGAAAGUUUAGGCUCACACGAUACUGUCGCUUAA